rnacentral:rRNA from 1 species
GAUAGAAAAUACAAAUGCAUACGCGUGGAUGCCUUGGAACUUGAAGCCGAAGAAGGACGUACCAGACUGCGAUAAGCCUCGACAAGCUGUCAAGAAGCGUUAUAGUCGGGGAUUUCCUAAUGGGGAAACCCUUGCAAGUAAAACUUGCAAACUGUGUAUUAAAAAUGGCGCAAGCUAUAUAGGUAUACAGAGGGAACUCGGGGAACUGAAACAUCUUAGUACCCGGAGGAAAAGAAAACAAAUCCCGACCUUGUGUCGGGAACAUUCCCCAAGUAGUGGCGAACGAAAAGGGAAAAGCCUAAACCCCGACCUAAAGUCGGGGGGUUGCGGGGCAAAUAAUGUGGCAUUUUGUUUUGCUAGAAGAACUUGCCUGGAAAGGCGGGCCGUAGAAGGUAAUAGCCCUGUAUUUAAAAGCAAAGCAAAGCCUAUUUUGUACCCAAGUACCGCGAGACACGAGAAAUCUUGUGGGAAUCCGGCAGGACCAUCUGCCAAGGCUAAAUACUUCAAGUUACCGAUAGUGAACAAGUACCGUGAGGGAAAGGUGAAAAGCACCCCGGUAAGGGGAGUGAAAUAGUUUCUGAAACCGUAUGCAGACAAACUGAUAAAGUCCCGACUUCAGGUCGGGAUAAUAUCGUGCCUAUUGAAGAAUGAGCCCGCGAGUUUACAAUGGUUUGCGUUUAGGUUAAGCUCGUCAAACGAGCGGAGCCGAAGGGAAACCAAGUCUUAAAAGGGCGUAUUUCCGACCUAAAGUCGGAAUGUAGUAAACAUUGUAAGACCCGAAGCCAAGUGAGCUAACCAUGAGCAGGGUGAGCCCGUUGUAAAAAACGGAGGAGGCCCGAACCGGUGUCUGAUGCAAAAGGCUCGGAUGACUUGUGGUUAGGGCUAAUACGGUAAUCGAACUUGGCGAUAGCUGGCUCUCCCCGAAAUAUAUUUAGGUAUAGCCUCUUUUAAUGUUGCGCAGGGGUAGAGAUACUGGAAGGGAUGCAGGCUCGCAAGAGUACUGUACCCUACCAAACUCCGAAUACUGUGCAAUUUAUAAAGGGAGUCAGUCCUAGGGAGCUAAGUUCCUAGGUCAAAAGGGAAACAACCCAGACCGUCAGAUAAGGUCCCUAAUUAAAGUUUAAGUGUGAAAGGAAGUAAGUCUGUUAAGACAUCCAGGAGGUUGGCUCAGAAGCAGCCAUCCUUUAAAGAGUGCGUAACAGCUCACUGGCUUAUUCCCCGACCUAAAGUCGGGCGGCAGACUUGCGCCUAAAAUUUAACGGGGCUAAAACUUUAACCGAAUCUGCGGAUCCCGACCUAAAGUCGAGGAUGGUAGGGGAGCAUUCCAACGGCUGUGAAGUCCUGUCGUGAGAUGGGGUGGAGCUUUUGGAAGUGAGAAUGCGGGCAUGAGUAGCGUAAUAUCCGAUGAAAAAUCGGGUCGCCGAAAGUCCAAGGUUUCCUGCGCCACGUUUUUCGACGCAGGGUUAGUCGAUCCUAAGGCGAGGCCUAAAGGCGUAGUCGAUGGAUAAACGGUUAAUAUUCCGUUACUACCAAAAAGUUGCGAUGGGGGGACGGGGUUUGAUAACAAAAGUGUCAGUAUGGUUUGGCAUCUAAGCAGCAAGCUAGAGAGUGUAGGUAAAUCCGCACUUUCGUCCCGACCUAAAGUCGGGAUACGCAAGCUGUGGGGAAGUCCGCAUGGACAAUUUUUGCGAUUUAAGCCUCCAAGAAAAACCUCUAAGUUUACACUUUUUGGUAUUCGUACCUAAAACCGACACAGGUGGACAGGUAGAGUAUACCAAGGCGAACGGGAGAACGGCGGCCGAGGAACUCGGCAAAUUAACUCCGUAACUUAGGGAAAAGGAGUCCCUCCUUGUGCGAAGCACAAGGAAAUCCUGGAAAAUUUCUAAUCUCUAAAUCCUAAAUCCUAAACGAGCACAAAUGUUCAAAACACAAAUUUCAAAAAAGAAUUUGGAGAAUUUGAAUUUUGAUAUUGUUUAGAUAUUAGAAUUUAGAAUUUAGUAUUUAAUCUAUAGGAUUUUCUUUUGCUUCGUAUGAGGGGGGGGCACAUAAAUGGCUCGAGCGACUGUUUAACAAAAACACAGGUCUCCGCUUAACCCGCAAGGGGAUGUAUGGGGACUGACGCCUGCCCGGUGCCAGUAGGUCAAACUCUAAGGUUCACGCUUUGGAGCUAAGCCCUGGUGAACGGCAGCAGUAACUAUAUUCGCGCAAGCUACCGCGAAGCGAGAAUAUAUGUGGUGAGGUUUCCGCCGAACCCAUAUAACUGUUCUUGCUUUGUCGAAGCAGUAUGUAGUUACUAUAAUAAAUUUGGCUGUAUGCUGGAAACUCUUGCAAAGUUUAGAGUACCGAAAAUUAAGGUGAAAAUCUCUAAAAUAAAGACAAUCAGCAGGCAACCCUUCUAUUAAAGAAGGUGAGUCCUCAGAGACUAUACGCCAAAUCCCGAUCUAAUCGGGAAUGAUAUAGUCCGGUCUCCAGCGAGAGUUGGAGUUAACACACACGAACUGUUCUAAGGUAGAAUAAGCGCCGCCUUAGUAAAAUUCGGCUAAAUGCUGGAAACACCGUUGUAUCCACAAGUACCCCGACCAAAAGUCGAGGGUGAAAAUCUUAGUGGUGCGGUCAAUCAGCAGGAAAGAUCAGCAGAGUAUCAAAGGCUGAAAUCCUCACUCACUAUACGCCGAAUCCCGACCUAAAGUCGGGAAAGAGAUAGUGGCGUCUGCAUAGCGAUAUGCAGUGAUUGCAUAAUGUGCGAUAAGGAAAUGCAAUCUGGAGUCGACAAUCGUCGAUAAAGAAUAUAAGCGAAAUUCCUUGUCAGGUAAGUUCUGACCCGCACGAAAGGCGUAACGACUUGAGCACUCUCUUAGCCGCCGGCCCGGCGAAAUUGAAGUGGCUGUGAAUAUGCAGUCUAUCUGCAGCUGGACAAAAAGACCCCGUGGAGCUUUACUGCAGCUUAGCAUUGAGGCAAGUUUUAGGAUGUGUAGGAUAGGUGGGAGUCCCGACCUAAAGUCGGACAACAGUGAAAUACCACUCUUUCUAAUCCUUGUCUCUCUAGCCUGACCCGUUAUCCGGGCAGGUAACAGUGCUUGGUGGGCAGUUUGACUGGGGCGGUCCCCUCUUAAAAGGUAACAGAGGGGCCCAAAGGUUUGCUUAUCCCGGAUGGAAAUCGGGAUGUAAGUGUAAAGGCAAAAGCAAGCUUAACUGAAAGACAUACAAGUCAAACAGAUACGAAAGUAGGGCUUAAUGAUCCUCCGAUGGCAUAUGGAUGCGUCGGAGCUUAACGGAUAAAAGUUACCCCGGGGAUAACAGAGUAGUCACGCCCGAGCGCCCACAGCGACGGCGUGGUUCGCUACAUCGAUGUUGUCUCGUCGCAUCCUGGGGCUGUAUAAGGUCCCAAGGGUUGGGCUGUUCGCCCAUUAAAGCGGCGCGUUAGAUGAGUUCAGAGCGUUGUGAGACAGCUCGGUCUCUAUCCACUGUGGACGAAGUUGGUUGCGAGGAUUUGCCGGUAGUACGAGAGGACCCCGGUGAACGAACCUCUAGUGUACCAGUUGUCACGCCCGUGGCAUCGCUGGGUAGCUACGUUCGGAUCGGAUAAGAGCUGAAAGCAUCUAAGCACGAAACCGACCUCAAGAUUAACCAACGGCCUCCUGGUAGACUACCAGGUUGAUAGGUAACAGGUGUAAGCACAGUAAUGUGUUCAGCCGAGUUAUACUAAUGGCCUCAUUUUUCUAUCCA